rnacentral:rRNA from 1 species
UACAGGGGGUGCAAACGUUGUCCGGAGUUACUGGGCGUAAAGGGUGCGCAGGCGGCCCUGCGCGUCGCGAGUGAAAUCUCCCGGCUCAACUGGGAGGGUGGUCGCGAGACGGCAGGGCUUGAGGCUCGGUGAGGGGCGUGGAAUUCCGGGUGGAGCGGUGAAAUGCGUAGAGAUCCGGAGGAACACCAACGGCGUAGGCAGCGCCCUAGACGAGACCUGACGCUCAGGCACGAAAGCGCGGGGAGCGAACAGG